CAAGUCGGGGGAAUCCCCGCAAGGGGGGAACCGGCGUAAGGGGCAGUAGGGCGUGGGUACCCACCCCCGGGUCCGGGAUAGCCGUCCGAGAGGGCGGGUAAUACCGGAUGACCUCGGGAGAGCAAAGGUUUACCGCCCGGGGCGGGGCCCACGUGGUAUCAGGUAGUCGGUGGGGUGACGGCCCACCGAGCCGCAGACGCCUAGCGGGUGUGAGAGCACGACCCGCGCCACUGGCACUGAGACACUGGCCAGACACCUACGGGUGGCUGCAGUCGAGGAUCUUCGGCAAUGGGGGCAACCCUGACCGAGCGACGCCGCGUGUGCGACGAAGGCCUUCGGGUUGUAAAGCACUGUCGAGGGGGAGGAAGGCCCGCAAGGGCGUGACCUAUCCCUGGAGGAAGCACGGGCUAAGUUCGUGCCAGCAGCCGCGGUAAGACGAACCGUGCGAACGUUGUUCGGAAUCACUGGGCUUAAAGGGCGCGUAGGCGGGCCGUCGCGUCCGGGGUGAAAUCCCCCCGCUCAACGGGGGGACGGCCUCGGAUACGGGCGGCCUGGAGGCGGGUAGGGGCACGCGGAACUGUGGGUGGAGCGGUGAAAUGCGUUGAGAUCCACAGGAACUCCGGUGGCGAAGGCGGCGUGCUGGACCCGUCCUGACGCUGAGGCGCGAAAGCCAGGGGAGCGAACGGGAUUAGAUACCCCGGUAGUCCUGGCCCUAAACGAUGAGGAGUAGGUAGUAGCCCGGGCAUGGGGUUACUGCCGGAGCAAAAGUGCUAAGUCCUCCGCCUGGGGAGUAUGGCCGCAAGGCUGAAACUCAAAGGAAUUGACGGGGGCUCACACAAGCGGUGGA
rnacentral:rRNA from 1 species